GAUCAUGGCUCAGGACGAACGCUGGCGGCGCGCCUAACACAUGCAAGUCGAACGAGCGAUAGAGAGCUUGCUUUCUCGAGCGAGUGGCGAACGGGUGAGUAACGCGUGAGGAACCUGCCUCAAAGAGGGGGACAACAGUUGGAAACGACUGCUAAUACCGCAUAAGCCCACGGUGCCGCAUGGCACAGAGGGAAAAGGAGCAAUCCACUUUGAGAUGGCCGUCCGUCGGUCCCGGAUUAAG
rnacentral:rRNA from 1 species